rnacentral:lncRNA from 1 species
GGAGGAGUUAUAUGAUUAUCAGACUGCACUAAGCUUUUAAUGCCAAAUUAAUGAAUAUUUCGUUAGUAUCCAAGACCUCGCUAAAUGCCUCCCGCAUUGGUAUUAGUCGGCGUUCUCUAGAGGAACAGAAUGAACAGAUUAAAUAUAUGUUAAGAGGGGAUUUGUUAGAUUGACUUAUAUGCUAUGGUCUGUCUGGGUCGUCCAACAAUGGUUGUAUUUACAAUGGAGAGGCUGAGGGCUGGUAACUACUCAGCCCACGGCACUCAAUGGUUCUGUAGUCUGGAUCAGGCACUGCAGGAAGAUUCCUGGGGAGCUGUUGGUCUCCAGAGUACACGCAGUAAGAUCAAAGAAGCUGAGUUCUGAUGUCAGUGUAGGACGGCAUAGCAGCAGCAGCAGCAGCAGCAGCAGCAGCAGCAGCAGCAGCAGCAGCAGCAUAGGUCAUUAACCAGCAAGAUGUGCAGAAAAUUCCCAUCUUGGCAGCGCAAGGAGGAAAUAGUGUCCCAGAAGCGGAGAAAGCCUGCAAUGCCAGACAAGAUGUCAUUUCCAAGAUCUUCCAGUAGAGGGCACCAGGAAUCUGCGUGCAGGCUGAGCCACCUCUCCGGGGAGAUUAUGCAAUGAUGAGGACGCAGGCUCCAGGGACAGAGAUGGCUGAUACCGGAGAACAGCGCACAGCUGCGGCCCAAGAGGCCCGAGUUCCCAGAGGGCAGGACUGCUGUCAGGAAUCUUCCUUCUUCCCACGAUGCCCUGGAAACUGCUUAGUUGGUUUUCUGGUUGAUUUGUGGCCGCAUACAACUGUCAGCUGCCUUUGAACCCGGCGACAGAAACUGAGCUCUGGCGUUUGUUUUCUAAGGAGAUUGUCCUGAAUUCUUUUUUUUUUUUUUCAAGACUAAAUAAUAACAGUUAUUAAAGGCACCAUCUCCUGCACUGCUCCUCCAUGCCUUCAGGGUGCUUAGAGGGUGGGCUUUUCCUACAUGAUGCAUUUUUUUUUCAGCCUCCCACCUGCUUCAAGGGGUCUUGCUAGUCUCUGUAUCCGCCACCCAGCUAAGUUAAACACAGCUUGUUAGAAACCCAGAGGGGAGAGAAGAG